UUAGUGGGUUAGGUUUAGUGGAGUAGGUGAGGUGGUAGUGGUGUAGUGGGUUAGGUUUAGUGGAGUAGGUUUAAGUGGGUGAAGUAGGUGGAGAGUAGGUGGAUUUUAACACAAAUGAACCCUUUUACCCCCUUCACACCCUUCCCAAAAGAAAAUCUCUCAUCAACUCAAGCCUCAAGCUUUUGUCCCUUAAAACCUAAGGACAUUUAAAAGUAAGAAAAUAAAGCAAUAUAUUUUGAAAGACUUUUAAUCAAAUUCUAAUGAAUCAAUUGACAAUCUUCAUGUGAAUAUUCCACCAACCACCUACGUCAUGAACGUGGUCAUGGACUAUGUCUCAAGAAGGCUGAGAUCAUGAGUUGGAGCCUUCCUUCUAUAACAUGCCAGCUUAUGGGGUUUUCUUGAUUUAGUUACAAAGGGGAAAAACAAACAUCGUUAUGGUGUCAUAGUAUCUGGCAUCAGACAUUACACUUUGUAUAUGUCGAUUAUCUAGACAUUAUGGUUGACAGUUGUUCUUGGAACUGCUUUAUUUUGAAGUGUCAAAACCAACUUUGAUUUCUUUCUUUUUUGCACUCUAAUAGAUUCUUUUAUCUAUAACAAAAUAAAUUAUGAAUGUAGUGAAAGUUGUUCGUCUUCUGCUAAUAAUUCUUUAUUACUCAGGAAGUUUUUAUUCGUAUCGUUCUUGUAUUUAUUUUGCUGUUGUUUGUUAACAUUCUUUAAUAUUGGCAAAUUCCUCUUUUAUUGUUAGUACUCAUUUAAACAACAUUUUUAGGAGUUUGGUACUUGGAGAAAGCAGUUUUUAAUUUAGAAUAUGGACAAUUGAAGCUGGUAUUCCAUGCUCUCGAGGAGCGUACACAGGUUAUUGAGAAUGCUUCACACUUAUGCAAUGCUUUGCCAUGCAUGACACCGUGUUUCAACUGGUUUGAGGCAGUGUACUUCUGGAUGGGCUUGAAACUGCAUGAUCUGGUCGCAGGACCACGCCUCCUGCACCUGUCCAGAUAUUAUUCUGCACAAGAGUCUGUUGAACUUUUCUCCACUCUUGCAAGGAAGGGCAAAGAUAGAACCUUGAAGGGCACAGUGGUUUAAUAUGAUGGACAAAUGAAUGACUUGAGAGUUAAUGUUGGGCUAGCAUGCACUGCUGCAUUAGCAGGUGCAGCUGUGCUUAACCAUGCUGAAGUCAUAUCCUUUCUAAAAGAUGAAGGUUGCGACCGGAUAAUCGGUGCUCAUAUUCGAGACAAUCUGACAGUGGUGUACAUAUCGUGCUACCUGAUUACUAUUCUCCCAAGGGAAUGGGUUUAAUCGUUCCCAAAACAAAAGAUGGAUGUGUUGUCUUCAUGUUGCCGUGGUUGGGAAGAACGGUUGCUGGCACUACGGAUUCCAGCACCACCAUUACAAUGCUUCCAGAACCAAAUGAGGAUGAGAUUGAAUUUAUACUGGAUGCCAUCUGUGAUUACCUUAAUGUUAAGGACAAUUUAGGUAUGGCGUGUAGAUGUUCUUUCUGCAUGGAGUGGUAUUUGCCCAUUGGCAACAGAUCCUAGAGCAAAGAACACUGAGAGCAUUUCCAGGGAUCAUGUUGUAUGCGAAGAUUACCCCGGUUUAGUCACGAUUACUGGUGGAAAGUGGACUACAUAUAGAAGGUCAUACACAUGUUGCGUUGAAUGUUUGAGGAGCUGGAUCAGCUUGCCCUUUUGAUAAGAAAAUUCUUCUUCUUCUUCUUUUAAUAGCCAGCUAGGCUCUGCGAGGACAUCACUUAUUGUAACAAUUGGGCCGUCUACUCGACAUCAUGUUGAAACCUCAAGCACCAUAAUGUUUGGACAACGGGCCAUGAAAGUUGUAAACGUGUUAAAGCUUAAGGAAGAAUUUGAUUAUGAAAGUUUUUGUCGGAAGCUUGAGAAUCAGGUGGAGCAUCUAACUGUGGAGAUUGAUAGACAACAAAAGUUGAGGGACAAUGACAGAGUUGAAAUGGAAAAAAACAUCAGAGAGUGUCAAAAAUCAUUUGCUGAAGCUGAAAAGAGUUUAGUUACAAUGUCUGAGGUAGUUGUCUCUCCUGCUGGUAUAUGUUUUAGAGUUUGGAUUUGAUGAUAUUAUGGCUGUGUUUCAGUUCAAACUUUCCCACUUCCAGCAUAUUCAUUUUAUUUGGAGCUAUUGGUGCUCUAGUUUUGUCCUUUUUAGGUGUGUGCGUGCAUGUGCGUAUGGCAAUAUGUUCUGUCCACCAGCAUUCUUUGUUUAUUUUUCAUAUUACUUUCUCUAAAUAUGUUGCACUUGUUUGCAGUUUCUAGCAAAAGAGAAUGUCGUCUGGAAAUAAAGACGAAGGGUAUAUUAGAUGAACUGAAGCGUCUAAAAGAUCAUAAUGAUUUUAUGCAUGAUGAAAUUGAACGCUUAGAAAUGAGUCUAAAACACAGCAAGGUAUAUGAAACACACAGUUUCUUGUUUUUCUUUUCUUCUUUUUUCCUCCCCUUUUUAUUCUCUGUAUAUUCUAGUCUUCUAGUAAACUAUGAACUAGCCCCACACUCCCAAUUUGAGUACACUUCGGUGGUUAGGUGUUUCAAAUCCUUUUUAUACAGUUCUCUCUUACUGCCCAGUUAAAUUACUAGAAGAAAAGUAAACUUAUGAUCAAUUUCAUCUAUAUGGUAGUCAAGACCUUUGCUAUGUGCUGGUUUUCUUAUUGUUUCCUAGUUUUAAAUUGUAUUUGUUCCUUGGAUCUAAAGUUUUGGCUUUACAGUUUAGAAAACAAUUUAUUUUUGGUUACUAAUACUUGGGUCUACAUGUGCACAAACACUAACUGUGCUGGUUUGUCUGCUAGUAGCAAUACCAGCUUGACAGUUCUAUGUAUCAGAAAGCACUUGCAGAUACCACCCAGAUGUAUGAGAAGAAGAUAGCAGAGUUGAUGAAGCAAUUAGAGGAGCAACAGGCUCGCUCUGAAAGUGCUGAAGAACAGUUAGAUGUGAUGAAGAAGUUGCUAAGUGAUCAUCAAAAGUCAAUGCAGGUUAACCAUCUCAUUAAAUAUGGAAAGGACAACGUUCCUCUUAGACCUCUAAUUCUAAUAAUCAAUUUAUAAUGAGUCUUCAUUGGUCUUUUUAAUCUUGUAAAAAGAUUAAAGCAGUGAUUUAUUGGUACUUUAAAGCUCCAAAUCAAAAUUUACCGCAAGAAUUGUUUAUAUGCUGAAGAACAGAUAGAUUUAAGCCAUGUCAGUGGUAAAAUUUUAAAAGCAGUUUCAAAUUUUUGUUGCUCCUAGAAUCCUAGUUUCAGCUAACAAGAGACUUUAGUUCUGAUGUUUUUGUUUCUCUCCCCUCUCUCUCUCUCUCCCACCAGCAAUAUCAAAAGGAAAAUUUUACAUAUCAGAAGGCUCUUUCAAACACCAUUCAAAUGUAUGAGAAGAAAAUAGCAUAAUUAAAACAGGAACUAGAUGAUGGGCAUGUCCGUUUUAAAGGUGUAGAAGAAGAAUUGGAUAUGACGAAGAUGCAAUUAAGAGAUCAUCAAAACUCAAACCAGGUCAAGUGUAUUAAAAUAUGUGAAAAAUGUAUUAAAAAAAGAAGAAGAAUAUGUGUAAGUAUUCAGAUCCGUCUCAAUCAACAAAGCACCUGUUCAGAUAUAUAGGUAAAAGCAGAAAGAUGAGGAAGAGAGUGAGA